CAGCCAGUUACUCCCGGAAGUGCUGGGACGGGUGGUGAGGGGCCCGGGCAGGUGGCGCGCCUUACAGCGGACGGUGUUCGUGCUGCUUUCUGUGCUGUAUUUUCUGAAAGCUUAAAUACAGACCAGAAGAGGAGUUUGGGGCUUGACACCUGACAUCUUAACACCAGUUCCUGUUUCUUGAGGAAGGAAGAGGUAAAAUAAAUCAGCGUUUACUGUGUAGUUCUCCAUCCCCAGAAGUCCUGAUGAAGACCCUCUCAGCUUCUACUUGAACGUGAAUAUGAGCAACUGAUCAUCUGUUCUGCAGUCAGCCCCUGGCCUGAUUCUGACUCAUGGUAUUGACCUUCUCCAUCAUCACCUUCCACAAAUUUGAUUCCUAUCUAUUCUGCCUGGAAUGGUUCACGAGUAUAAUCACCAUUUAUGUUCCUGACGAAAGCAGGUGAAGACAUUCGUUGAGAGAGGCAAUUUCCAUGCGUGCAGGCAAAGUGUGUGCUGAGAUGAUGAGUUGCUGGAGACCAGGGUGGACUCUUCAGACCCAGAAUAGGCCUCUGGCCGGUAUGUGUCAAUGUUUUCUGCCCAUGGCACUCACCCGGGUAUUUGCAUAGAAUGUUAUCAGCGGAAUUAGUAGUCUCCGGAGAGGCUGCCCCGUGUCAGCAAGCUUCACCUGGCCAGGGUCCACCCGUGAUGUAGCUCCCCAAUCAAUGACUACUCUCUAGACCUUCCAGAUAGACUAGCAGAUCUUCUCUGCCCAUGGGCAACCAGUAGAGCCAGAGGCCUUCUCCCUUUGCUCUUUCGUCUCUAGGCAUUCUAUCAGGCACUCCAAGCUGUGAAGUGCAUGGGGGGAGAAAGAAGAGAUUUCAGAGAAUGAACACAUACAGAGAGAGAGGCAAGAGAUGGUGAGUGGGGAUGUCUUGCAUACUGAUAUCCUGAGGAAAGUGGGAAAAUUGGACCCUGGCUUGCUCUGCCAAUGCCGUGAAGCAGUCCGCACCAGGGGCUCCCUUGUGCCUGCAUAGCCUUUCCCAGGGUGUGCUCAAAUCCUUUGGCCACUAGGUGUCCUAGGUCACAAUGGAGGACCCUGUGUCAUCUGCCUGGUGGACUGGAUCUCUGCCAUUGGCUAAGUCUUGUCACCAGGCCCAUCAUAAGCUCUGCCCACUCUUCCGGUGGGGAGACUCUCUCCAUGGUGAUGGCAAAGAAACCUUAGUCCCGCCCACCUGGCCUUGACUUCACCUACCUGGCCUGCUGACCCUCACCCAGACCUCUGUGUGGAUGAAAAUGAAUGUCCACCAGUGGCCCAGUGUCAGCGUCUGGUAUAAAGGAUUCGGGACGUUUCCUGAGGCAGAAGGCAGCCUACGUCUGCGGGUACCUGGAAGUCUAGUGACUUGUGAUGCUGCUGCCAGUGAGAAAUGGUGACUCCCACACUCACAUAUCCCCUGGUGGCAGAAUGAUAGUGAUGGGUGGAGAAACAUGGCUCCGGAGCACAUGUUCAGUGGGGCACCGGCCAAAUGUCAGGGCCAGGAGUGGACGUCGUGGAGCUGCAUGGCGUGCCAGUGAAGGGCCCAAGGAUUUCUCCAAUGAGGCAAAAUGCAGAUCAAGCCAAGGAACACAAAGAUAAAGCAGCUGAAGAAAUUAAAAAGGUUACUCAAGAACAUAGUUAAAAAUUUAAUAAGCUGCAAGAAACCAUAGAGAGACUGCAAUCAGAGAUUCAGAAGAUUAACAAUAAAAUUACAGAGUCAGAAAACUCAAUAGAAAGUAAUAAGAGCACAAUUGAGGAAUUGGAAGGCAGAAUUACUGAGAUGGAAGAUCAAACUCUUGGGACUAAUAUAUUUGAAGAGAAAGCAGAUAAAAGAAUUUUAAAUGAAGAAAUCCAAAGAAUCAUGUGGGACUUUAUCAAGAGAAAUAACUAUGAGUGAUUUCAGUACCAGAACAGGGAGGGCUAACAGAAAAUACAGAGGGAACUGUUGAAGAUUUGUUGGCAGAACUUCCCUGAUAUCAUGAAAGAUGCUCAUCGAAUUCCACAUACGGUAGAUCUCAAAAGAAAGUGACCGAGACACAGAAUAAUCA